rnacentral:misc_RNA from 1 species
UACGGAGGAUGCGAGCGUUAUCCGGAUUUAUUGGGUUUAAAGGGAGCGUAGACGGGAUGUUAAGUCAGUUGUGAAAUGCUGUGGCUCAACCAUAGCACUGCAGUUGAUACUGGCGUUCUUGAGUGCGUAUGAGGUACGUGGAAUUCGUGGUGUAGCGGUGAAAUGCUUAGAUAUCACGAAGAACUCCUAUUGCGAAGGCAGCGUACCAAUCCGUAACUGACGUUGAGGCUCGAAAGUGUGGGUAUCAAACAGG